AAUCUCUCUUCUAUUUGUGCCGUCUCCUCACCUAAACCCUAAAUUCCACUUCCCACCCAAAAUCGUAAAUUCCAAAUGGCUUCUUCGCCACAUACGGCAAGAAAAACUACAGUCAACCAAAGGCUCAAUUCUCUUUGUCUCUAUCUCUGUUUUCAUCUCCUCCUAUAUAUUUCAAAAGAGGUCAUUUUCUCAUAAGCUGCAAGGAAGACGAAAGGGUUUCUACACUAUAGUGGUCUGUCCAUUGAGGGUUAGAUUCCUCCAUCUUCAAUCAAAGGGCAGCUGAACUUCUCCUUGGAUCUGAUAUUUGUCUGUCUCUGUUCUUCCUGGCUUCCAGUUAGGGAUUGUGGUGGAUUGCCUAUCUGGUUUCCUUAGCGACUUGUCUAGUUACACAACUUUCUUAUUUUUAACAAUCAAAAUGUUUCUUUCAGGUAUAAUAUGUUAUAUGGAAAUUUUCAGAAUGGGAAAGGAGGAGUCAAUUGAUGUAGAAGGAAAGUAUAAUGGUGUGUUCUUCCUCCUAAGCCUCCCAAACAACAACUUAUGGAAAGGGACAAUUUCUGGUUAUUCUAUUGUUGGGACAAUUGAAAUUAAGACUAGUAUUUUGUACCAAAUUAAAUAGAGAACUAAAGCACAAAUAUUAUAUGUAUAUGGGAAUACAAAAAACCUUCGGAAAAGUACUAUAUGUUGUAUAUUUAACUUUAUA